GUCACCGGCCGCCCCGAGGGCACGGGGGAGCCUCGUGCGCGCGCGGCGGGGCCUGGCACGGCCGCUGCCUCCCGACACCCCCUGCCGGGCUGGGCAGCCCUGGAAGUCCCUGGAAAUCCCUGCCGAAUCCUGUGUCGCCGCCGCCCACUUGUCUCCCGUGGGCGGCUGAGGAUGGAAAACACCGUGCUGUCGCGCGGGAGGGCCGAGCCGCGGGGGGCGGAGCGGCGGCAGGGGACGUGCGGCUGCGCCGGAGGCCCGGAUUGAACAACAUGCGCAAGUAGACAUGGAUAUCCAGUUAGGAAGAUCAUUCUGCCAUCUCUCUUCAGAGCUGAGAAGAAGCUUCAUCAUCCAGGUCUAGCAGAAAACUCUAUUCAAGCAUGUACAGUUCUCCAAAUCUGCUCUAACUCCUGUCAUCCAUUGUCAAAACAAAAGUAAGAUAUUUGAGUGUACCUUCUGUGGCUCUCAUCUGUAUCCAGCAGUCAUCAUGCCAUUUCCAAAGCUUUAUGUUAAGAAGGGAACUGGAUUAUGCCUCACAGAGUUCCAAACCCAAGCUGAGUCCUUUCAGUUGCACAUACAGAAUGAAUCCACUUGUAGUUAAGCUGUAAAGGACUAACUAGUCUGACUGCACAGUCACAUGUUGGAUUGUAACCUCCAGUCCCAGUGGGUAGUGAAACAUCAGCCUGGCUCUGUAGGCUGUUGAUGUGGACCUCUGAAACUGGCUACGCAGCUCUGCAGCUGCACUUCUUUCUCGUGUGGCCUGGCUGUAGAAGUGGUUUACCCACAUUUGCAUGGUGCAAAAUUGGCUUUGACAGGGGUAGAUACCGAGAGUCCAGACUGUAAUAACUACUUGAUUUGUGACUCAGAGCUGCAGGGGACUGUAAUGUCUGAAGACUUAGAGUUAGAGGAUGAAAUAUACUCUUCACUCUUCAUUUCACAGAAAAAAGAAAAGACGUGGAAACAUAAAGGAGCUUCAUCAUCUGCUCUCCUUGGGGAAAAAAAAAUCAUGCUGACAAAGACUUCUUUUGAAAAGCUGGAAGAGGAACAUUUGCUGUGAUAUAUUGAUCCUUUGGAAGCAGCUGAUAGUGGCGAAGCCCACUCCAUCACCUAGGAGUCUGACAAUCCUGGUCCCAGCAGGUGACAGGAUGGAGGAGGAAGAUGAAUCAUUUGGAUUCUGCUGCCAUGGACUUAAUUAUCUCUGACUUAUCUCUGAAACAACUGAUGUGUCCUCCCAGAGAUGUAGCCUGCAGCCCCCACUCCAGGACUGCUUCCUAACAGGAAGCCUCUACCGCCUCCACCUCUGCUGUAUAGGAGUUGUAGCUGUAUAUGCUAUGAGGAGACUGACCCUGUCCACAGCCACAUGCUCAUGACAUAGCUGCAUACAUUGAAGUUGUGCUUUUCAUCUUGAAAGGAGCUGAGAAGGGGAUUCUCACCUAAGCACAGAAGGGCCAAAUAGAGUGUACUUCACUGAGGAUCUCUAUCCCUGCUAAAGGUGGAUUAUUUCAAUGCUCUGAAGGCCUUCAGAACCUACAGAGGUGUGACUGACAGGGAGCAGUCAGUGGUGUUUGUGCUCAGUUGGUACCAGAAGGCAGCUGAACCCACAGCAGACUUGGACCUGAAGCCAGGCAGUGUGUGGCAGGUCAGUGGAAAGGAAGUCUUUUUGCCUCAUCCUCGCUACAGCACCCUGGGUCCUCCUCUGCCUCCUGGAGAUGCCGUCUUCCCCAGGAGCUCCUGGGCAUGAUCCGAGGAGGGAAGAUUCACAACUGAAGGACAGAGCAGACAGAAGGGAAAUGGAAGAUCCAGCAAGGAAACAGCACAGCAAACAUGGGUGGGUGACUCCUGAGGAGAGCACCAUCAAAAUCACAGCCAAAACAGGAGAGAAGGAAAAAAAUCACCCUCCCCUAAGGUUUGAGAGAUGGCAGGGCGGCCACUUGGGAAGUCACUGAGUUGUUAGUUGGAAAGCAAGAUUGAAUGUGAAGGCUGGCUCUGCUAUGAUACUUGGGACUGGAAGACCCUCAAAUUCUCUUCUGUCUUCCCUUUUCAUUUUGAGUUUUCUCAGAUUUAGAAGUAUGCUCUUCUAGUAUCUGUUCUGAAAUAAACUGGUUUCUAAUUGUAAAA